ensembl:snoRNA
GUGCUCCAGUGUCCUCCCCAUCAGACCCAGACACUGGUCCCAGUGGUUGUAAAGGAGGAAAAGUAAGCUUGACACUGACCUCCCACGAGCUUGUUUCCAACAAAC